GAUGAACGCUGGCGGCGUGCUUAACACAUGCAAGUCGAACGAGAAAUGGAGACGGAAACCUUCGGGCGGAAGGCUUCAUUUCGAGUGGCGGACGGGUGAGUAACGCGUGGGUAACCUGCCUCAUACAGGGGGAUAACAGUUGGAAACGACUGUUAAUACCGCAUAAGACCACAGCACCGCAUGGUGCGGGGGUAAAAACUCCGGUGGUAUGAGAUGGACCCGCGUUCGAUUAGCCAGUUGGCGGGGUAACGGCCCACCAAAGCGACGAUCGAUAGCCGAUCUGAGAGGAUGACCGGCCACAUUGGGACUGAGACACGGCCCAAACUCCUACGGGAGGCAGCAGUGGGGAAUAUUGCACAAUGGGGGAAACCCUGAUGCAGCGACGCCGCGUGAGUGAAGAAGUACUUCGGUAUGUAAAGCUCUAUCAGCAGGGAAGAAAAUGACGGUACCUGAGUAAGAGGCCCCGGCUAACUACG
rnacentral:rRNA from 1 species